rnacentral:misc_RNA from 1 species
GGCAAUGAGGCCAGCAACAGCGCGGUCGCGGCCCACUCCAUCGGAAAUGGACCGAGCAGCAUCAGCAGCCCGAGUACGAUCAAUGGGUGCAGGAUCAGCUUGACCGCGAUGACGCCCGGCACUUCCCAUGGCACCCGCUCGAACGGGCGCAGCGCNNNNNUCACGCCGAGUGCGAACAGCGCGACGGGUGCCGCUGCGCUUUGGAGGAACUGAAACGUGUUGUCGAGCGCCACAGGCACCGGGACAUGGAAUGCCGCGACCAGCGCGCCGAAAUAGGACGCGAUGAUGAGCGGAUGCAGCAGGAUCUGCCUGGCGACAAGCCCGAUGGUCGGCAGAAGCGGCCGGCGCUCACCGUCGGUCAGCACCAUCAGCAGCGGUACGGUCGUAAACAGAAAGAUGGUGUCGAAACAGAAGAUCAGCGCCACCGGCGCG